CCAAGGUGGCCGGCAACCGGUAGCCAGCACCAAAAUCGUGAGCAGUAUCGUUGCGAUUGUCUCGAACCACGCUCCGGACAGCAUCUUCCAAUUGAAAUCCUGCACCAGGAGAUGAAAUGAUCGGAAAUCGCGCAAUCGGGACGUUAUUAGGGAUUUUCACGAUCUGACAAUCAGACAAACAGAGAAAACAGCGUUGGUCUCGCGAAUCGUCCAGUGGGCCAUGCCCGUCCAAGGCUGGCAGAUACCGAAAGGGUCCACUCAAAAAAAAUGGUCUUGCAAUUAUAGUAAAAUUUAUCUAGAUACGAGAAAUUAGCUGAGAUGGAUAAAUGAUUAACAAACGCUGCGAUAUCGCAUGGAUCUUGUAUUUAAUCAAUAUAAAUGACAGAGACAGAAUUUCCACCUGAAUUAUUUGUAAAAUUUAGCAAGGAACUUCCUCCCUUUCUUUCUCUGUGCCGCCCAUUCAGAUUAAAGCUAGUCACGUUUCUUAUAACAACUGACUGUGGCAGACGAAAAAGACUAGCGACAGGAGACAAACGAAUAUACAAUCCUCACACCGACCUAAAUUUGCCUGCGGAUAUUGCUGAAAUGCUACUGCAAAUUCUACGUAUCACGAAGAAUCUUCCAGCAGAUAUAAAAGACAGCGGUAAAUUCCAACUGUGACAUUUAGAGUUCCACCUGGAUCAGCAAAACAAUUUUUUGAGUGGGGUAUCGAGAGACAAAAGAAAGGAUGAUUUGAAUGGUACUCGCGAAACAAAAUAAAGAGUACCCACGGUAAGCGCUCUCCCCCUCUGUGGUACGGCCGAUAGAACGACAGGUGUUCGCUUCUGGCAAGCCGCAGAUUUCGCGCGUCCGACACUCGCUCGAGUCAGUCGCGAUCGACGAGGGUUUCUCGCGGCGGUUUCGCGCGAGAAUUCAACGAGGCGUCACUCGCGCUUCUUCGAUUCAGCACUAGGAUACGGUGCGAGACGGUGGUGCGAGAGUAGGAGGAGCCGCGAAGCUCACGCAUUUUCGCGAUCGCUAAUUCUCACCGAUGGCGGAAAGAGGGAAAGAAAGUGAGAGGGACGAAGGGAGAGGUACGAGAGGAAAAGGGGAGUGCAGAGUGCAGAGUGGACGACGGAGUAAAGAGCGAGAAAGAGCGGACAGCAGCAGCCGCUCGCGGAUCUUUUCGCGACUGACUGAGUGCCCCAGUGUUAUUUGCAGAGACCGCGAUUCUCUUCUAUUUACAAUUCACCGAUAACGCGUGUUGCCCCGAUGAUCCCACUCACUUUCCUCACCUCUCUCUCUCCCUCUCCCUCUUUCUCUCCCUCGUCUUCUCUCCGCCCCGCUCAUUCUGAGUCACCGGGGCUCGGUAUCGGAGCUGUUACACGGAUCGGGGAGAAAAUAGUUAAACGAUAUCGCGAUAACCGUGUAAUUGCGGGCCGCACUUGCGAUGCCGUACAGUAAGUAACGAGGGGUGAAGGUUCGAACGAUCUAUAUACAUAUAUUAUGUACCAUGUGUAUGCACGCAUGUAUGUUACGCAUGUAUGUAACGCAUACACCACUCGACGACAUUCGCGACUCGGCCCGAUGAUUUGCAACGCGUAAAGCUCAGAUACGCGUCGCUCGCGAAAACAGUGUCCAGGGUAGCAUUCCGUUAAGGGACGUCUACAUUGGAAGUAAAUAGCAAGAAGUAGGAAGUAAGAGUAAGAAAUUCACCAACCACGGUCGAAUGUGAGAAGAAUAAUCAACUAUGAUUGGUCAAUUUCUUAUUCUUACUUCCUACUUCUUACUGCUUACUUCCAAUGUAGACGUUCCUUUAGACUCGUGGACCUCAGAAGGAUAUUCCGUAGGACCGCAACCGCGUAGUCUUCCUCGUCGCGAAAUCCCAUAACCCAAUACCAUCAAUAACCCAAGGCGGAUUCGACUUUGUAGAUUCCACGUCCAGGUAAAUCGGAGGGAGCGCUCGUACGAAACACAGUAGACAGCGGUUGUAGUUCGGAAAAGUAGAGAAAAUCGCCGGAGAGGAAAACAUCGGAGGUAAGAGAUAGGCAGGCGAUCUGCCGCAUUCCACGCCCGCUUCUUGUAGCGGUUUCCACGAGGUAAGUUCCGAACCUCUUGACCGGCUACAUUGUUCGUUCAUUAAUGACGUUAAUUAAGCACACCGCUACGUAAGAGCCGUCUCGCGCUCUGGCACGGUAUCCUGUGCUUACCUGCCGGCGAUGGGAGUCUUCAGGGACGGUAUCUCCCUAAGAACGUAUUUGCUGUGUGUAUGUGCACAUGUGUGCGCACAUCGCGGGGGAAAAUUAACUCCGUACGUUUCCGUAAGCAAAUUUGAAAGCAUGUCCUUUUGCGAUUUUUUUUAUUAACUGGUUGCUCCAAAAGAGAAUACCAAGUACUUUGUUGAUCUUACAAGAAAAUUUCUACAUUAUAUUAUUAUUAUAUAUUCUAUGUUAUAUAAAACAGAAAAUGUCUAUCUAUUUCUUAUAAAAUUUCAACUCUUUGACCGAUCAGGAUGAAAUUUUGCACGGUUACUGUCUAGAACCCUGCGGAAAAUAUAGCCUACGUAAAGCCUGGACGCAUAUCCCACUCUCCUCUUUCCCUGAUUUCAUCCCCUUGACACUCUGUGAUAAUUUAAGUUUAUAUGUUCUAGAUAUAAGAAGCUCGGAUAGUUUAUAAGCUAAUUAUAUUAUUAUUAUAAAAAUUUCGUAAAAUUCGCGCAAGCUAAUUUGCGAUCAAUGCCGGCUACCAGAAGCGCGAAUUCAAUGUCACGUGAAAUAAAUCUGCCACAGUCGCGAUCGGCCUUCUUCCUUUUGGUUCACCUAUUUGUGCAGGGUCCCGCGUGCAGCGCGCGAACCUGUUUAAUCUACGCUUUACUACGAAUGGACUAUUCUUAGCUCGCGCGCGAACCAGAACUGGCGAUUUUCCGAUCGGAAUCGAGCUUUGGAUCGAAUCUCUAAUAAAGGUCUAAUAAAGAGCGGAGCGAAACGUAUCGCUUUACAUAUCUCGCGGAACCAGUCCUACUGGCGAAAAGAAAGAAGAUAAAGUGCCCGAUGCGGUUGUCGAAAGCUCCCUUUUCUCUCUUUACCUUUCUACAUAUCUCUCCCUAUACGAUCUCUAUUUUCCGCUGCGAUACGCGCGCGGGCUCUCGCUGAAAGUGAACCAUGCGCGCGAGAAAGAAUCGCGGAGACGCCCGAGAAGGAAAGAACGCAGAUCGGCUGCGAAUUAUCGCCGGGCAAUCUGUCUUGAGAAAAAAAUAACAACGGCGUAAUGGAAAAAUUGGAUAACCAUGUAUGUAAUUUAAUGUUUUACAUAAUAGAAUGGCUCGCCUCGUCCCGGAAAAAUUACAUGCGGCCUACAUAAUAAUUAGAUAAUAAUCGCUGAAUUAAUAUAUGUAGCGUGAACACGCGUGCGCGUCGCACAUGCAUAGAUUCGCGUGGCACCAGAUGAGAUAUUUUCGUCCCAUUAAAUUGGACAAAUUUCACGCUGUGGUGCACGCACGCACGCACGCACGCACGUACCGGGCUCGUAUUCGCGGCGUAGAUAACGAACGCGCGGCUAAUUGUGUGCGAAGACUUUGGAAUGGCAGAAUGUCGCCGCCGCCUGCCGAAGUAAAUAAAGUAUUAUUGCUCCGGAGCAAUUGAGAAAGCGCGAGAGACGAAAGAGAGAGAAUGAGAGUGAGAGAAAGGCGGGAGAGAGAGAAAGAGGAAAAAAAGAGAGAGAGAAAGAGAGAAGAACGGGGAACGGGGAAAAUAAUCGGCUGGGAUGCGCUCGAUUACGACUCGUCACGACGACGACGAUCACGACAACGACGACGACGACGACGACGACGACGACGACGAUGCUGAUGAUGAUGAUGAAAACGACGGCGGUGGCGACGACGACGACGCUGAUGAUGACGAUAACAACGACGACGACGACGACGACGUAACUAGAUUGUUAUCUUUUCCUCUGACAAACGCGUUUCUCUCCAGGAGCGCGAGCGCAAAGAGUGUGCGUCGUGUAACUUAGUAGUUUAUAAUUUUAUAUCAAUUGCCUGCUACGUAAGACCACUUUCAGUCAGCUGUGACGUGUAAUGACAGCCUCCUUAGCUCGUGCGGGCACGGUUUUCUCUCGAGGAAAGUGCCUCUCGACGCAGCGGCUAGAUAAUUUUUGAGGGUAUACGAUCGUACACGGUAUUUCCGUGGGUUUCAUGCGCUAAAAAUUAAGAUCGGGAAUCGCGAAACGUCUAGCGGUAUUCGUACGGUAUUUGUAUACAAACUGCGUACAGGACGCACACAGCAGCUUGUCCUGCAAUAUUUACUCUUCUUGUCAAGUCGGCCGCGUGCUACGGCGCCAUCGGUAGACAUUGCAGGUUCGCUCUUAUGUUUUCAAGUGAGACAGUUUGUAUACAAGCGACUUCCGCACAACAAAUAAAUCGCUCGAGGUAAAUUCGACACUCUCUCCCUCUUUCUCUCUUUUUCUUCAGAGCAACCAUCUGCGUAUUCCGUCCGUGUAAGAGUCUGAUUUCGUUACCGGACAAGACAAUGGUUGCAAAGCUGCUGUCACGCCUUCUGGUAGCAUCAUUCAAAUAUUCGCUAUUUAAACAUCACACUUAGAAAUAUCGUAAUUUAGACAUGUAAACUGCACGCGCGUCUUCGGAUGUCUUGUGUACAGUUUUCCCAACAAAAUAAACAUUAUUAUUAUGAUAUCCAUAUAAAAGUGCAACUGCACCUUUGCAUGCACAAAUCGAAGUUAGAAAAUUAAGAAAAAAAAAUGGUCAGUUUUGUUAUUUUGUUAGAACUUUAUGACGGUCGAUUCUACCUUUUUUUCAGUCACCAAUGGAAAAUCUCCCGGAAAACUGGUUCAUUACUUCGGCUUAUUAAGUAACUUAGUAAAGUUAACAAUUAGUAAUCCGCUAAUGAGCAAUUCGCGGAAAUUUGCGGUGCGCACGGCGAUUUUUCGCCACGGUCGUCAAUUAAAGGAACGACACCCCGAGAGGAGCUUGAAUAAUGUUGUGCGCGCGCCUCGUUAAUAAUACAGCUACGACUGUAAUCUAUUCUCGGGCGCCGCUCAAUCAUAAAUUUUAUUGCUUAGCGUUACUCGGCGUUUUUUCCCGCAAUACGUGUGUGCGUGUGUGGGUGUGUGUGUCUAUGUGUGUGCGUGCGUUGCACGGUAUCUCCACGAGCGGCUAUCAGCUAGGUAUGAAAUGAAUUAAUUACGUUCUAUUUUCGCCCGUAACACAUUGUAUUUAUGUAUCCGCGGAUCAUUAAACACGAUUUUCUCUAUGUAACGGUUCGGCUCAGAGAGAGAGAGAGAAAGAGAGAGACACGACGAACUGCGUAUCCGCGUUAAAACACACCGUCCCGCUCCCGACUAAGAUCGGCGAGGAUUUCCCGCCUGGAAAAUCGUCUCACGCAAUCGUCUCAUCUUCUCGAUCAAGUGAACUAGAUCGGUAAAAAUUUCGUCGCGCAUAUGUAACGCUUAAUACGAGACGCGAUAGCACUGUGCGUUCUCUCGCAAACCUCAAGUAGAAAAAUUUCCAGCAAAAACUGGUCACUAGCCCGGUUAGUUUUUACUGGCUAGGAUUUAUUAGACAGUAACUAUUCGAAAACUAUCGACAGGAAAAUACUGACCAGUAUUUCUUGGCUCGUUACCGGCUCGAAAACUAAGACAAUAAAAAAUGGUAGUUAAAUUCUGGACAGUUUUUAUGUUCAAUAAAAAUUCGAGAAGCAUUUACUAGAUAAAAGAAAAAAAUUAUUAAAAUUAAUAAUUAAUUAUCAUUAAUAAUUAAAAAUAAAUUAAAAAUGAAGCUGCGAUAUCAUCUCAAUAAUGAGUAAAUUUGCGCGUGAAAAGAUUCUAUCUUCUGAAACACAAGUUUCGCAUUAUUUUUAUAUUGAAUAACAAAAUAUAAUGUCCUCUAUAAAAUCGAACGAGCACUUUGCAGAGUUUUGUACAAAAAGAUGUUUGCUAGUCAGCAACUGACUAGUUUCACUGUCCAGUUACUAAUGAGGCAAGCAUCGCCUAAACUGACUCGAAACCAGCUCUAGUAACCAAAAUUGAAUAAAUUAAAAUUCCUGGCCGAGCUUAUGUCGGCCAGGAAGAGGUCGUUUUUUUCACUCGGGUUAUUGGUAUUGCUCGUUGGUAUCGUCGCGCGAUACAACGAGGCAGAGAGGCGGCGUGUUUACCGAAAGUGAAAUUGACAAAGCGUGAGCGCAAAUAUCGGCGCCCCUUCCCGGUGCGUCGCGGAAGAAACGCACGAAUCCAGACGCUGGCGACUGUAUUAUCGCGCCGGGCGACCUAUUUGUCGGACCGGCGACUAUUUGCGUUCGAUAACCCACCGAUAAGUACUUUCCCUACUUGUAUUCGCACCGCGAUCCGGGAGCGGCGUAAAUAACACACGCUCGAUCAAGGAAGUCUCGGAACGAGCGAAGAGCGUCAGCGAAAAGGUAGCAGCAGGAGCGGCGCUCUCGUUCCCCGCGAGAUUCGCGCUCGAAUUUCGCCGGCCUAGGCGCUCUUUUCGGCAGUUACGUAACGAGGAACGCACGAGCUCGAGAGAGGAAGCUGCCGACAGAAUUGAAUUUGUGCGAUCAAAUGGGGGUCUAAUUCUUAGUUGUGAGACUUAAGGCUCUUCAAGCGAAUCCGCUUGCAACUCCGAGAUAAUUAAAAUUCGUUUCAAUUCAAGUAAAUUGACGUGAAAUUUACUUGAAGUCAAUUUUCACGAGAAGCGUCCUUUCCGCGCACAACUCUCUCUCUCUCUCUCUCUCGUCCUUCGGAUUCCUCAACCUCCCCGCGAUUCUCCACGAUCGUUUUCGAACAAAGCAACUCGUCGGCAUCGCUGUGUGUGGAAGCCACCUCCAAAUACGGUCCUUACGAUUUCGAGUUUCCGGAACACGCGGUAAACACGCGGGUAUAUAAAGGUGAUGCGCGCGCUAUGCGCCGUGCACAGAGACCGCGCGAAUUGCACUCGCCGUUUCCGUAUAACGUUGUUCCUCCACCUCUUCCUCCUUCUUCUCUUUCUCCUCUUCUUCUUCCUCUUCUUCAUCUUCGUCGUCGUCGUCAUCGUCGUCGUCGUGACGUGGUCAUUCGCGAAAUUGCGAUUCCCGUUUCGCGAUUACCGACGUUUACGGUACGGUCUAUUCUCCGGCCGUGUACGUAAUCGUUCGCGCAUCGGAGCAAGUUACCACGCGUGUCAACGGCACUUAACAUUCCGCAAGUAAAAUGAUUGACCGCCGCGACCAUCUCGAUCCGCGAAUGACCGGUCGCUCGACAUUGCGAGCGCCGGCAAAUUAAAUGAAGGGCUGGCCGGAAAAGCAUCGGCGAAGCGCACACGGCAGCGGACACCGCAGGAAGAAAGCGUGACAAAUUUUUAAAAAGAAAAGAAAAAAACGAGAAAUCCAGGAGAGAAAGAAACAAACGCGCUGAUUUUGAUCGGAAAAACGAAAGUUCGACGAUCAAAAUGCAAAAAUAAACGGUUUCGAGACGCGCUUUGUUCUACUCGCGAGUACACAAAACUGUUAUUCAAGGUUAACGAUCGCGAAUGAACAUUUAAACAUCUACCGUGUACUUGAUGAAAAAACGUCUGUUUAGCAAAAGGUGACAACAGAUACAAACAUUAUGUUUUUGUAUCUGUCGUUUUUCGCUAAAGUUAUCUCUUUUUUUCUUCUUCUUCUUCACCGGAAUCGUCACCUUAUCCCUUUCGUAGGACAAAUUCAAAUUCAACGUUUCCGUUUAGUCAAGUCAUUGACUUGAAAUAUUUUAUAUUGGCGUGGAGAAUGAGCGAGGCGAAUGAUCGGGCAUCUCCAUCCGACUAAUCACGAUGACCAAUCCUGAUUACACACUUUUGCACCUUCACGCGCGUGUAGCCCGAAUAACCCGUCGGAGAAGUCUCAAUACGAAUUCGAAUCCGGAUCGAUCUGAAGUCAAGUCCGAGUCGAUCAACGACUUCAAUCUCGUUCUUUGCGUGAGACCUCCUCGCCGACGUUUCCUUUCUUUCCUUUAGAACGCAACGCGGAAUCCUCAGCUCGGGUCCACGCGAAUCGCGGAAGACCCAUUCGCGCAACAUGCUCGAGCGCACUUUUGAUCGAUCGAUCGUAGCUUUCCGUCGCGCGGAAAAUUCAAGCCCGCUUUCGGCCGUUGGAUCGCACUCUUGACGCGUAUUCGAACACCAAGUACGCCCCUUGUAUUCCAAGCUUUAGCUUGAGAAUCCGCGCGCAAAGGCGUGAAGAGAACUUACGACCCCGGAUUUCCACGAGGCGGAAAAUUUGAGCGCGCUUCCGCGUCGCACGCACGCACGCACGCACCUUCCCACAACGGUAGAACAACAACAACAACGACGAUGAAGACGACGACAUCCGCGUUAAUUGCCAUAAUUACCAUGACGUUGUAGCUCUGGCACGACCGACAACACCUCGCACCUUGUCUCGCCUGAAGAUCCUUCUCUUCUUCUCUAUAUCGAUCAGCGGAUCGUGCGCAUAGCCCGUGCCCGUCGCGCGCGCACUAUCUCUCCGGCGACUUAUCCACGCCGAAUUAUUCUCUCCUCUUCGUGUACACGCCGCGGUUCGGCGACGAUCGUCCCGAGCCGAUCGGCCGAUGCGCGCGAUCGACGCGAUCGGGAGUCUCACGCUCUCGCUCUCGCGCUCGCGUGCGCGCACCGCGGACCCGGAAAUCCCGAACGCCUCGCUCGCGUGCUCGUGCCACAGGUGGUGGUGGUGGUGGUGGUGGUGGUUGAUGGCGAUGGUGCUGGUGGUGGUGGUGGUUGUUGGUGAUGGUCGGGUGCCGGGAUAAAAACGGACAGACGGCCGCAGGAAGGCACACACGGGCCGUUCAUCUUAUAGGGUGUCUCGUAAAAAGCGGGAUCGCCGCGGCAGGAAUGCGUUCUUCCUCGCGAGCGAGCGCGCGACCGAUCAGUCGAUCGAUCGAUCGAUCUCGCAUCUCUCUCUCUCUCUCUCUCCCUCCCUUCCUCCCUCCCUCUCUCUCCUCCUCCGUCCUCGCCUUUCGCUUGACGAAAUUUUCAUAGGAAAGCCGACUACCGCGCCGGGAACGCGAUCUCGCGCGUCACGCUUUUCGCGGCAUUUCCCGCGGUAUUUUCUUUUCUUUUCAACGCUGUGCGAGCUUAAGGACACACGCAGGUGGAACUUUUCCCUCCUUAUUUCUGUCUCUCUCUCUCUCUCUAUCUGUCUAUCUAUCUUUAAUUGCGCUUACGUUCUGGCGCGGCACCUGCAGUGUUUCGAAAUAUGUAACAGCGUGUGUAAGCGAUAGCGUGAUUAAGUUGCUAUUUAUUUGUGUUAGGAUGACGUAUAUCACGUGGAAGAAAUUAAAACUUCGCACGGUUAAGUAGAAGCUAAGCACGCCGGGCGAUUACCGUUGGAUUCUGCAGAGAAACGUUCUCUUCUCUAUCAUGUCAGAUAAUGAACUCUAAUCACAAUGUUUGUAAUUAACGCAAAUUACGUGUAUUGACACAGAAACGUGCAAUUUUACAAGAUUGCAACAACGUUCGCGUCUGAAAACUUAGUACGAUUAAUCUUAUCGUGUCUCGUCGUUUAUUCAGACACACCGACAUCCUGGUUCGAGAUUUAUGAGGGUCCUUCGAAAGACGUGAGUUGUCGCAUGUCCUUGACAAUCUUGACGAGGUUGUAAUGCUUGACGGCCGCGUGGUGCGCAAUCAGAGCGCGAAACGCGUUAAAAUGUAUCGAGGAAAUCACUUACGGACUUCAAGCGCGUUAUCAUCCCCGUCGUUGUCGUCGUCGUCGUCGUCGUCGUCGUCGUCGUCGUCGUCGUCGUCGUCGUUGUCGUGAUGGUGGUGGUCGAGGUCGAGAUUCAGCUGUUGGCACUAAUAACACGUAACCGGAUUAAAUGCGCGCGACUUUGCGCGCGACACCUACCGCGGGAAAAUUGAGGGAACCAGAGGGAAAGAGAAAGAGCGAAAAGCAGCCGCGUGGUCGUCUGCGAACUGCCGCGACGACGACAACGGUGAACGUAUAUACCCUGCUCGUCGAGCGGCCGCGGCGGCACUGAUCCCAAAAAGUUCCUCGGGAACCCUCGCGUUUUCCAAAAACUCCGAAAGCGCUGGCAGGGGUGGAGGAGGUGGAAAGACCGAGUCGGCAGUCGAUGGAGGUGGAGAGACGCUGCGGAGGAGCAGAAGGAAGAAGUGGAGGACAGGGAGACCGAGGAACGAGCUGGUUAAGAAGAGAGGGCCGUGGAUCACAGACGGAUGGACGGAGAGGGACACGCGGAUGCCCGGUACCAAGGGAAGGGAGGCAAAGCCGCGGGCCCGGACUCGAGAGUGAGAAGAGAAGCGGCGCGAGAGGCACCAGACUGUGAAGGAAGAGCGGAGAGCGCGAAGAGGAAGAAGAAGAGGCGCCGAGGAGAAAACGAGAGAGAGAGAGAGAGAGAGAGAGAGAGAGAGAGAGAGAGAGAGCUAAGAGGAGAAGAGGAACGCGUGUCCGGCGAAUGGAGCUUUAAUCGUCGCUAAUUGCCGUAUUGUUCAGCGGAUCGAUCGGAUUUAUGAAUGGUGGCAGCGAGCGCGCGAGUGGACACUAGCCAUAACUAAAGAGAUCGAAGAGGAGGAAGAAGAAGAUGAUGAUGAUGGUGAUGAUGAUGAUAAUGAUGAUGAUGAAGAUGAUAAAGAAAGAAAAGACAGAGAUCCCCAUUUCUCUCUCUCUCUCUCUCUCUCUCUCUCUCUCUCUCUCUCUCUCUCUCUCUCUCCGUGUCUCUUCCUCGAGAAGAAACGGGAUGCUUGAGGCCCUGUCGGGUUCGUCUCGACACUCUCGGAGACGAACUCUCUUAUCUCCUCGUCCUCUCUGUUUACAUGCCCCGUCGUGCCCUGUCCGGUCCCGCGACAUGGUUGGCUGCUACGCUGGUGGGGCCCAUGGGUUCCAGUGGGAACCCACGAUCGCGGUGGGGGUUCCGGAUGACGGACUGCCCGGAACGGAUAGCAGCAGAUGGCGCUGAACGUCCCUGCGACGAGGAAGAUUCACGUUGCCGCUGAUCGGCGAGAUGAUACUCGGCAUCCGCUGUGCACGGGAUGCUAUUUGACAUAAAAGAGGUGCAUUCGCUCUGGGGAACUGUUACCGGGAAAACUCCAACACGGCUUAUUUCCCAAGAGAGGACCGCGGCGCGGCGAUAAAGACGCCGAUAAAAGAAGGCCUGUACGGUUCGAGGGUUAAAUAUUCAUGUCCCGCCGAUAUCAUAAUAGUGUAAGAUGGCACGGUGUGUCCGGAGUGGAACGGACGAGACCGCAUAGAACGGGCUAGACCGGGUCAGGGGGAAAUGAUGUAGCUCUAUCGCGUGUAGGGGGCGUGAACACGUGGAAUGAGACGUCGAUUGGAACUCGUUUCGAAUCGAACAAAAUAAAACGGUCGUGAGCGCGCCGGGACGGCAUAGGCCGCGCGAGAGAUACGGUAUGGUAUAUGAGGAAGUAUACACGAAACACCGUAGAGUCUCUGGAUACGAAGAGUCUCGCUGUUCCGAGCCGAGGUGAGUAUUCGAAAUCGCCGCUCGCGCGAAGGAAACGUCAUUUUUCCGCGAAAUAUUGAACGCUACUGAUCCGUCUCGAACGCGCAUAACGGGUGAAACGCGCGACGCGCCGUUCCAUUUUAUUCGAUAGUAAGCACCACCGAGGUGGUUCUCGCAACUUUGUAGAGCGCGUUCGGUAGCAAUGUGUGGGCGCCCGACUAUAUGCGUAUAAAUAAAUGUAAAGUAUACAUAUAUUAACGACGGGAGCGCGCGCGCGCGCGCACGAUUGGGUUAUUCUCGAAGUGCACGGUGGUACGUGUCGUUCGUGUUUCUCCGAUUGCGUAUACGCCUGGCCGGAGCUAAGUUUCCUUAACUAGGUUCAAAAAUGCGCCGCAAAAUGACUAGCGAUUUAAUAAGCGACACAAUCGAUUUCUACGAUCUAACGCGACCUCCUUUUUAAACGGCGAUUCGACCCAACCGGCCGAGGAAGUAUCGCAAUAUGACGGUUUUAACCCCGCGCCGUUCCGUUAGCGUGACUUUUUUUAACCCGUUUUCAUUUUGCAAUAUCUAAGUAAGUAGGUGUCGCUCCCGAUACGCAAAUCUCUCGAACGGCCUUUCGUGCGCGUGCGCGCGUGUACGCGCGGUGACAUUGUCAAGUUCCAAACGUUAGAACUUUUUUUCAGCCGUACUUCGCGCCGUGCGCAACUUCGCUUAGAAACCAGUUUUUCUAGUUCCCCCAUUUGAACGAAUGUUAGUUAGUUGGUGGAGAUUUCUUUUUUCUCCACUUCUCUCUCUCUCUCUCUCUCUCUCUCUCU